rfam:Triticum aestivum genome assembly, contig: Triticum_aestivum_CS42_TGACv1_scaffold_472628_6AL
AUGCUACUCCUUCCGUUCAGAAAUACUUGUCGGAGGAAUGGAUGUAUCUAGACAUAUUUUAAUUCUAGAUACAUCCAUUAUUAUGCAUUUCUGCGACAAGUAUUUCCGGACGGAGGGAGUAUUAU